UUAUUAUAUUCAGCUAACCUAUCUCUUCAUUUUUUUCAAAUAAAAACAAAUCAAUCCUAAUUGAUGAUUUUGUCAUUUUUAGUUUGAUUUGUAUAUUCAAAUUCUUCUUCAAUUGAAUUAAUAUGACAACAAAUUUUUUUUUUCCUUAUUUAAAUUUAUUAAUUAAUUCAAGUAAGAAAAUCUGGACAAAAAUGCUGGAUAAUUAAUAAUACUAUUAAAAUAAA
rnacentral:lncRNA from 1 species